rnacentral:lncRNA from 1 species
AUCAUAUCGUGUUACUGAAUUAUACUUUAGGUAAGUAUGAAAGACUUAGAGAGUAUACAUAUGUCAUAUCAAUUUCAUGGCGAGUGUUUCUCAGUGGAACAACUUCCAAUAAGCUAAAUUGAACAACAUUAAUGUAUUAGAAGCCAGAAAUGAGCAUAUAACUCGGUUAAGAUUAACUUCAAAGCUAAAUGAUUAGGUUUGUAACGAACACCCCA